UCUUUGAAUAGAUACUUCCCACAGAAUAUCUCCCAUUAACUUCUACAUUCCCUCUGUCUUUCUCUCUCAGGUGUGUCCGAGUCCGAGUCCCAGCAGAAGCGGCAGGAUGGACCUGUUUUCCCUCAUGCAGUCCAUCCAGCUGGAUGACGAUGAGAGAUUGAGCGAUAAAGAAGGUGCUGGUGCCCAGAGACGAUCGCCGGGACAGCGCAGACGGAGCCACAAACGACGAGCUUUAACUCACCAGCGAGCAUACGUGGAUGUUUCGCCUGACCCGAGCAGCCUGAACAGAAAACAAGACGAGACUCAGGAGCAGGUGGAACAAACAGGAGGAACAAACAGUGGUCAAUGAUACAGAGGGAAGGUAGGAAGAGCUAAAGAACAGAGACACUGAGUGAGAGAGAGAGGCAGAGAGCGAGGGAAAGAAUACUCCUCAUGAUGCACACCAGUUUUAUUUAUCCUGCUCAUCAGCUUGAUUUUAAUGAUGUAUUAUGGAAUAAUGAUGUUGUAAUGUUUUUGAGGCUUUGAGUUCAGAAUUUGCCACACACACACUGUACUGUGCAAAAGUCAGAGACUCCUCAUUUAUUUCUACUCAAAAUGGCCAUUAAAUACAAAUUAAUAAUAUUUUAGUAGAAACGUAACAGAAUAUUACACACAACCUUAUUAUUACCCUUUAAUAACAUUACACUCACUUCAAAAGUUCAGUCUUAGAAGCUGGUUGAUCAUUUUCUGACAUAAUCUGAAGUCCAAACACAUUCAGUAGUGUUGAGGUCUGGGGUGGUCAGUCCAUUGUUCACCUUUGUUUGAUGUGUCCAUCUCCUUUUCUCAGCGAGGUUCUUCUUGACAGCUACACAUCCUUUCAGGACGACUCAUAGCACUGAGUUGUCUUCUCACAGUGGAAGUAUGGACAGAAACCCCUGAUGUUUUCAGAUCUGAAGCAGCUUGACAUUCUCCUCUGUCUCAAAGAUGAAGGCUUCAGUGCUCUUUUAAAUGAUGGGGCAGUUUUGGUGUUUACCAGGUUUUCCUGGUGGUUUGAGUCUCAUUUUCUCUGUAGCUGUAAAUCAGAUUUUGAACUCCAGUUUUGGAAACUCUUGUUUGUUUACUUUGACGAACUCCUUCCUUACUCAAAUGAAUUAUCUGAUAUCUAAUCUCCUCAGAAACAUCUCCUGAAACAUGAACUUGUACUUAAAGGCUA
ensembl:lncRNA